AGCUGGAGCUCACACCCUCAGGUCUGCGGGAAGGCAGAGCUGGAGCUUCUAAUCACCGCCUUCCUUCCUUCCUUCCACUGCCCCAGUAAAGCAACUUGGCCCAGAACUGCUCCCUGCCCAUGAUGACAGUAUUACUCCAACUCCUGGAAAUUCUUGUCACCACCUAGCCUUCCCUUUCCACCUUCCCAUUUUCUCUUCCCAGCUUCCCAAACCCUUUAGGGGUUUGCUUCUGGCUGACAUCUUGUCACUAUAACCCUCUGGGAUCCUCCCUCAGCAAAAACACCUAAGUCAUCUGGCAGUAACAAAAAACCACGAAACUUCCCAUGGGUUCACCGGGUGUAAAGGGGACUCCCUGGCUGAAAGUCCAUUUCCUCUGUCCACUCUUCUCUUCUGCUCACACAGUUGUGAGUCCAUGUCCUCCCCAAGAUUUCCACCAGUCUCUGGGGCUGGCAUUCUGGUCGACCCUGGGAGUUCCAGAUUCACGUGGAGACAAGGGACUGCCCUCUGCCCUGCCCUGACCCGGGGUGGAACUCAGCCUCUGCUCUUCAUCCCUGAAGGCCUUUCUCCCAAGGAAUGUGUGCUUAGAAGACUGUACUGAAGGAGAGGAAAUCCAGACAGAGACACAGAUGAUUGAGCAGGAAAAGUAGAAGCCAGAAAGAGAAGCCAUAUGUCCGAGGCAACGAUUGCAACAAGCCAGCACCAGAAUGCUACAAGCUCAGGGAGAAAGCACAACCUGCUGAGACACGGGUUUGG